UGGUGAGUAAAGUGGCGUACGGGUGAGUAACACGUGGAUAAUCUACCCUGGAGUGGGGAAUAACGCUGGGAAACCGGCGCUAAUACCGCAUAAUCCCGAGAGGGCAAAGGAAGAAAUUUCGCUUCAGGAGGAGUCCGCGGCCGAUUAGCUAGUUGGCAGGGUAAAAGCCUACCAAGGCAACGAUCGGUAGCCGGCCUGAGAGGGCACACGGCCACACUGGCACUGAAACACGGGCCAG
rnacentral:rRNA from 1 species